rnacentral:tRNA from 1 species
CCAUCGGUGGUUCAGUGGUAAAAUGCUCGCCUGCCACGCGGGCGGCCCAGGUUCGAUUCCCGGCCAAUGCA